UACGGAGGGUGCAAGCGUUAUCCGGAUUCACUGGGUUUAAAGGGUGCGUAGGCGGGUUGGUAAGUCCGUGGUGAAAUCCCCAAGCUUAACUUGGGAACUGCCGUGGAUACUAUCAAUCUUGAAUAUCGUGGAGGUAAGCGGAAUAUGUCAUGUAGCGGUGAAAUGCUUAGAUAUGACAUAGAACACCAAUUGCGUAGGCAGCUUACUACACGAUCAUUGACGCUGAGGCACGAAAGCGUGGGGAUCAAACAGGAUUAGAUACCCUGGUAGU
rnacentral:rRNA from 1 species